GCACAAGCGGUGGAGCAUGUGGUUAAUUCGAUGCAACGCGAAGAACCUUACCUGGGCUUGACAUCCCGGGAAUCCCUUGGAAACAAGGGAGUGCCCUUCGGGGAACCUGGAGACAGGUGCUGCAUGGCUGUCGUCAGCUCGUGUCGUGAGAUGUUGGGUUAAGUCCCGCAACGAGCGCAACCCUCGUCCUAUGUUGCCAGCGGGUCAUGCCGGGGACUCAUGGGAGACUGCCGGGGUCAACUCGGAGGAAGGUGGGGAUGACGUCAAAUCAUCAUGCCCCUUAUGUCUUGGGCUUCACGCAUGCUACAAUGGCCGGUACAAAGGGCUGCGAUACCGCGAGGUGGAGCGAAUCCCAGAAAGCCGGUCUCAGUUCGGAUUGGGGUCUGCAACUCGACCCCAUGAAGUUGGAAUCGCUAGUAAUCGCGGAUCAGCACGCCGCGGUGAAUACGUUCCCGGGCCUU
rnacentral:rRNA from 1 species